rnacentral:lncRNA from 1 species
UGCAGUAGUUCAAUGGACGUCUAUCUUGUAGGAUACAACUAUCUAAUCCAAGUUCUUGCACUCGAACUUGGAUUCUUGGUGAAUUGGUUGUGCGUUUCUCUGUGUAAGAUGAAAAGGAAGCGUUGGAAAUUCUACGUUAAGUUUAUGAUCUUAUUGCCAUGUAUAUAAUGGCAUAAAUUGAAAGACAUAACUGUUCAUUCUUAUCAGUUAUAAAACUAACAUAACUGUUCAAUCAGGCCAUAUAUAUAAUGGCAUAAAUUGAUGGCAUAAAUUGAACAGACAUAACUAUUCAUUCUUAUCAGUUAUAAAACUGACAUAACUGUUCAAUCAGUUUUAUCCUUUCAGAAAAAAUUGAAUCCAAAAAAUAAAAAAUGUAACUUGUGUUUUCGUCCAUCCGAGCCCAA